GACGAACGCUGGCGGCGUGCUUAACACAUGCAAGUCGAACGGAAAGGCCCUGCUUUUGUGGGGUGCUCGAGUGGCGAACGGGUGAGUAACACGUGAGUAACCUGCCCUUGACUUUGGGAUAACUUCAGGAAACUGGGGCUAAUACCGGAUAGGAGCUCCUGCUGCAUGGUGGGGGUUGGAAAGUUUCGGCGGUUGGGGAUGGACUCGCGGCUUAUCGGCUUGUUGGUGGGGUAGUGGCUUACCAAGGCUUUGACGGGUAGCCGGCCUGAGAGGGUGACCGGCCACAUUGGGACUGAGAUACGGCCCAGACUCCUACGGGAGGCAGCAGUGGGGAAUAUUGCACAAUGGGUGGAAGCCUGAUGCAGCAACGCCGUGUGCGGGAUGACGGCCUUCGGGUUGUAAACCGCUUUCGCUCAUGACGAAGCUUUGUGUGACGGUAGUGGGUAAAGAAGCACCGGCUAACUACGUG
rnacentral:rRNA from 1 species